UACGAAGGGGGCUAGCGUUGCUCGGAAUCACUGGGCGUAAAGGGUGCGUAGGCGGGUCUUUAAGUCAGGGGGGAAAUCCUGGAACUCAACUCCAGAACUGCCUUUGAUACUGAGGAUCUUGAGUUCGGGAGAGGUGAGUGGAACUGCGAGUGUAGAGGUGAAAUUCGUAGAUAUUCGCAAGAACACCAGUGGCGAAGGCGGCUCACUGGCCCGAUACUGACGCUGAGGCACGAAAGCGUGGGGAGCAAACAGG
rnacentral:rRNA from 1 species